rnacentral:lncRNA from 1 species
AUUUGUCAGUGCACAUUUCAAGCAGCAAUACCUUCAAGUCUUUGCGUCUCUUUGUACGCAGCUUCAUUACCAUCAUUUGCAAUCAUUUGACAUAGAAUUCUUCUAAGUCUUUCUUUUAUCUUCUCAUUUUGAUGGCAUUGAAAUUCAUCCAUGGGACCUACAAAACACCUACAAAGGUACAUCUUGCAAACUCCCUAGGCCCAAUAACUAUAUUGUCAUUAAUCACCAAAAUCAUUAUGACCAAGGGUCAUUUCCCUUACAUUGGUCAUCACAACCACCCAAAUCCUUUCCUGUAAAGAAAGCAGCUGAAUCAACUCCUCGCCCAAAUCCUAAAUUUCCCUGCCCCCCUAUGGCACCCACCCAAACAACACAAACCAGAUAGAGAUGGAAAUAAACCAUCCAAAUUUCAUAGAAUUUGCAGC